CAGCAGCAGCCACGGGAAUACGAAGGGUGCAAGCGUUAAUCGGAAUUACUGGGCGUAAAGCGCGCGUAGGUGGUUUGAUAAGUUGGAUGUGAAAGCCCCGGGCUCAACCUGGGAAUUGCAUCCAAAACUGUCUGACUAGAGUAUGGCAGAGGGUGGUGGAAUUUCCUGUGUAGCGGUGAAAUGCGUAGAUAUAGGAAGGAACACCAGUGGCGAAGGCGACCGCCUGGGCUAAUACUGACACUGAGGUGCGAAAGCGUGGGGAGCAAACAGGAUUAGAUACCCCGGUAGUCCCUGUCUCUUAUAA
rnacentral:rRNA from 1 species